GGUAUCUUCAACUCGAAACCACUGAUCUAAUGUAACGUGAAGUGUUUGAAAUAUAGAAAACACUAGACGUUAUACUUUGCUUAAACAUAGAUUUUCAAGCACAGGGGCUGUCAAGAAAGUUACGUUGUUCAUUGCAGGUGGUUCCGAACUGACAGAAAACCUGUGCGUGAGGUCGCUACAGAGCACAUGAUGUCACCCUCGGGAGCAAAUGCACCCAAGUCCAAGCCCAAGAAGGAGAUUCCCGAAGCACCACUGUUGUGAUCAGUGUGAGAAGACCUUCAGCAAUCUGUGCUACUUUCAUGC
ensembl:lncRNA